CCUUCGCUUUAACACGGGGGGCACUUGCUGUGUGCCCACAGAAGUAAGUGCUUCCUGUGUUUCAGUGGAGG
rnacentral:pre_miRNA from 10 species